UUCUUUUUGAAAAAAUAAAAAGUAAUUUCUGCUCCAUGAUAUUUAAUUAAAUAGCUGCAUUUUGUACUAAGGUAGCAUAAUAAAUUGUUCAUUAAUUGUGAACUAGAAUGAAGGAAAAAAUGGUAUAAUACUGUCUUAAAAUUAUGAAUUAAAAUUAGAUUAUUUGUAAAAAUACAAAUAUAAAAUUUAGGGACAAGAAGACCCUAUAAAGCUUUAUUGAUAUAUUAUAGAAAUUAUCUAAGUAAUCAAUUUUAUUGGGGCAAUAAUUUAUCAAUAAUAAAUAUAAAUUUAAUUUUAGAAAAGAAUUUCAAUAAAUAUGAUCCAUUAUUAAUGAAAUAUGAGUAAGUUACUUUAGGGAUAACAGGAUAAUUUUUAUUAGAAAGUUCUUAUUAAUAAUAAAGUUUAUUACCUCGAUGUUGAAUUAAUUUAAUUUUAUGGUGAAGUAGCUAUUUGUAUUUGACUGUUCGUCAAUUAAUUAAUUACA
rnacentral:rRNA from 1 species